rnacentral:rRNA from 1 species
AUUGAACGCUGGCGGCAUGCCUUACACAUGCAAGUCGAACGGUAACGCGGGGCAACCUGGCGACGAGUGGCGACCGGGUGAGUAAUGCAUCGGAACGUGCCCAGUAGUGGGGGAUAGCCCGGCGAAAGCCGGAUUAAUACCGCAUACGACCUACGGGUGAAAGGGGGGGAUCGCAAGACCUCGCGCUAUUUGAGCGGCCGAUGUCAGAUUAGGUAGUUGGUGGGGUAAAGGCCUACCAAGCCGACGAUCUGUAGCUGGUCUGAGAGGACGACCAGCCACACUGGGACUGAGACACGGCCCAGACUCCUACGGGAGGCAGCAGUGGGGAAUUUUGGACAAUGGGCGCAAGCCUGAUCCAGCCAUGCCGCGUGCGGGAAGAAGGCCUUCGGGUUGUAAACCGCUUUUGUCAGGGAAGAAAUCUUUUGAGCUAAUACCUCGGAAGGAUGACGGUACCUGAAGAAUAAGCACCGGCUAACUACGUGCCAGCAGCCGCGGUAAGAC